AUGCACCUUGAAUUAUGGAUAAACCAUGCAUAGCAAGGAAUUGGGGAGUGCAUGUUUUCAGGCUGGUUACAUUGGCAAAAAGGUGAUUGGCAAGCUCAUUCCAGAGGUCUUAGGGGCCCAAGAAGCACCGGCCAUGGGAUUCGAACAAGCACCAUAGUAGCCUAUUGCUCAUAUGGACCACACAUUAUAUGCACUGAUGUUUCAGCAAAGAGUUGAUGCUGCAGUAAUCAUAUUACCAUGCAGUUACCAAAGCCGGGGUGACCUUACCUUAUAUACUGGUUAAGAUCUAUGGAAGAACUCCUUCAGCUCAGUUUGGCAGCAGAUUUGUCAGGACAAGAUGAGAAGGAUCUCAUUUCUUGGUGGAAGGAUUCGAGAAGUACUACACGCCAGCAUACAUGACAUUUGAAACUUUGAUAAUUUGAUAGUGACUUAACAAAUUAAGAAAUAUUCUGAAAUCUAGAUGGCUAACAUAGGACAUUUCGGGCUUCGACUAACUUGUCUAGUGUUGAUGUUUAAAGUUAUGUAAUACAGAAUUCUGCUGAGUUUAAUAGAAGUCCAUAAUGAAGCUUUAAAUGUGACAGAUUUACUAUAGAUUAAAGAAGGGCGAACAUGGACAAGGCCGUGUCCAAAAAGAACUUGGAUUUUCUGUUUUGACAUUAAAAUUUGAAUUACUUCCCCAUAUAUAAAUUUUGUGUAUAGGCUGAAUUAAGAAGAAAGUAGUCGGGCAAGACACCAGUGAAAAUAUGGAAAAUAUGUUUCACUGCAGUGAAAAAUAUAUUUUUACAGUGAAAAUACGGAAAAUGUAACAGUUACUACCCAUUUUAUUUCAUCAAUAUUUCUCAAUAUUUCAUCUAUAAGUAUAUAAUAAAUACAUUUGUCUAAUCAAAGUUUCUUUUAUAUAUUAAUGUAAACGGACAUUGAUGUAAAUCUAUCUGAGUAAUUUUCUUAAUUCUUUCGUAUCAACAUUCGGAAUUCUUCAUCGUUUACUAUUACGGAAACUACCAAACCGUUCCGAUUGGACUUCCUUAUCAAAUUGACUUUUGCAAUGAAAGGGACACAACUCGCACAAAAAUAACCUAUACACACUUGCAGAGUUCUCGCCCCGACAAUACAUUUCAGAUAAUUGUGCACUAUGAUUGUUAUUUAAAUAAUAAUUACAGUGUACCGAAUACAUAUUUUAUCUUAACAUGAUUGGCAUUCGUCCUCUUAUGAAAUUUUCUGUAAACAUAUAUAUAUAUAUUUUUAGGUUAGGAAAUCACGUGUCUCAAUUUUGCACUAUUUGAUGUAAA